CCUACGGGCGGCAGCAGUGAGGAAUAUUGGUCAAUGGACGAGAGUCUGAACCAGCCAAGUAGCGUGAAGGAUGACUGCCCUAUGGGUUGUAAACUUCUUUUAUAUGGGAAUUAAAUGUUCCACGUGUGGGAUUUUGUAUGUACCAUAUGAAUAAGGAUCGGCCAACUCCGUGCCAGCAGCCGCGGUAAUACGGAGGAUCCGAGCGUUAUCCGGAUUUAUUGGGUUUAAAGGGAGCGUAGGUGGAUUGUUAAGUCAGUUGUGAAAGUUUGUGGUUCAACCGUAAAAUUGCAGUUGAAACUGGCAGUCUUGAGUACAGGAGAGGUGGGCGGAAUUCGUGGUGUAGCGGUGAAAUGCUUAGAUAUCACGAAGAACUCCGAUUGCGAAGGCAGUUCACUGGACUGCAACUGACACUGAGGCUCGAAAGUGUGGGUAUCAAACAGGAUUAGAUACCCUUGUAGUC
rnacentral:rRNA from 1 species